CUUAGUUGUGGGUCCUUCUAGUUGUGGCAUGUGGGACGCUACCUCAGCAUGGUUCAACGAGCAGUGCCAUGUCCACGCCCAGGAUUCGAACCGACGAAACACUGGGCCGCCUGCAGCGGAGCGCGCGAACUUAACCACUCAGCCACAGGGCCAGCCCCUGGAAUCAUAUUCUUCAGUCCUCUUUCUCAAUGAAAGAAUUCCCACCCGUUGCCCCACAUCCUCAACAGCAUUUGGUGUUGUCAGUGUUUUGGAUUUUGGCCAUUUGAAUAGGUGCAUAAAUGGUAAGUCGUUGCUUUAAUUUGCAUUUCCCUAAUGACAUAUGAUGGAACAUCUUUUAUGCUUAUUUGCCAUCUGUAUAUCUUCUUUGUGGAGUUUCUUUGCAGGUCUUUUGCCGAAUUUUUAACCAGGUUUUUAAUUUUUUUAUUGGUGAGUUUUAAGAGUUCUUUAUGUAUUUUGGAUAACUGUCCUUUAUCAAACAUGUCUUUUGCAAAUAUUUUUCCCCAGUUUGUGGGUUGUCUUUUUAUUCUCUUGACAAUGUCUUUUGCACAGUAGAAGUUUU
rnacentral:lncRNA from 1 species